rnacentral:rRNA from 1 species
AACAUCGCCUCUUGAAAAACAUAAGAGGUCCAGCCUGCCCAGUGACACUGUUCAACGGCCGCGGUAUCCUAACCGUGCGAAGGUAGCGUAAUCACUUGUUCUUUAAAUGAGGACUAGUAUGAAUGGCACCACGAGGGUUAUACUGUCUCCUUUUUCCAAUCAGUGAAACUAAUCUUCCCGUGAAGAAGCGGGAAUAUACCUAUAAGACGAGAAGACCCUAUGGAGCUUUAAACAAAACAACAUUUGCUAUUACAUACACCGAUUCUCAGGAAAUCAACCCUUAUUUUAGCACUAUGAUUGCCAGUUUUAGGUUGGGGUGACCGCGGAGUAAAAAACAACCUCCACAAUGAAUGGGGACCUCCCCUAAGCAAAAAACCACAAUUUUAUGCAUCAAUAAAUUGACAUCAAUUGACCCAAUAUUUUGAUCAACGAAACAAGUUACCCUAGGGAUAACAGCGCAAUCCUCUUCGAGAGCCCAUAUCGACAAGGGGGUUUACGACCUCGAUGUUGGAUCAGGGUACCCCAGUGGUGCAGCCGCUACUAAAGGUUCGUUUGUUCAACGAUUAAAACCCUACGUGAU